rnacentral:rRNA from 1 species
CGGGGGGAGCAAGCGUUGUUCGGAUUUACUGGGCGUAAAGGGCGCGUAGGCGGCCACCGCAAGUCGACUGUGAAAUCUCCGGGCUUAACCCGGAACGGUCAGCCGAUACUGCGGGGCUAGAGUGCAGAAGGGGCAACUGGAAUUCUCGGUGUAGCGGUGAAAUGCGUAGAUAUCGAGAGGAACACCUGCGGCGAAGGCGGGUUGCUGGGCUGACACUGACGCUGAUGCGCGAAAGCUAGGGGAGCGAACGGGAUUAGAUACCCCGGUAGUCCUAGCCUUAAACGAUGAAUGCUUGGUGUCUGGGGUUCUAUAGUCCCCGGGUGCCGUCGCUAACGCUUUAAGCAUUCCGCCUGGGGAGUACGGUCGCAAGGUUA